CACACUCUCAUUUUCAUGUUUCCAUCCUAAUUCGUUCAAGGUUAAAUCGCCAAACUCAUUACAAAAGCCAUACUCAUUCAUUCAAAGUUCAAGAUGUCCCAAAAUCGUUCAAAAGGAAAAAGACAAUCAAUACUAUUUUCAAACCAUUACAAAUUUACAAAAGAAACUACAAGAUUUUGUUACUUCAUAAGGCCGUGCACGUGCUAUGUCCCUUGGAAUCUCUGAAUCAGACAUAA